ensembl:ncRNA C34F11.12 ncRNA
UUGCGAAAUCAUCGUCAGUUAUGUAGCCGCUCAUUUCACUAUUUGAGGAGCGGAAGGGCGAAAUCAUUGGGGGCAGAGUGAGCGGGGAUGAAGGCCCGCUUUAAGCCUAGUCAUUUGUCACUUUAUGUGACAGACAGAGAAGACACAAAAAAAGGUAUUAACUAUUUGAGAGGCAAAAUGAAAACCAUCGAAUUUUUGAAAAUA